AAGCUCGUAGUUGAAUUUCGGGAUCAGACUGUCGGUCGUGCCUCGGUACGCACUGGCAUUAUUGGUUCCUACCUUCUGAAGAACCGCGAUGUCAUUAAUUUGGUGUCGCGGGGAAUCAGGACUGUUACUUUGAAAAAAUUAGAGUGUUUAAAGCAGGCUUACGCUUGAAUACAUUAGCAUGGAAUAAUGAAAUAGGACGUUUGAUUCUAUUUUGUUGGUUUCCAGGAUCGACGUAAUGAUUAAUAGGAUAGUGGG
rnacentral:rRNA from 1 species